GCUGGCGUAGCUCAAAGGAAGAGCUUUCAAAAUCUGCGACACGCUUGGAAGACAGGUUGGGUGCGGGUUCGAGUCCCGCCGUCAGCA
rnacentral:tRNA from 1 species